UCCGGUUUGUCACCGGCAGUCUCAUUAGAGUGCCCAACUGAAUGUAGCAACUAAUGACAAGGGUUGCGCUCGUUGCGGGACUUAACCCAACAUCUCACGACACGAGCUGACGACAGCCAUGCAGCACCUGUGUUCCGAUUCCCUUUCGGGCACACCCAGCUCUCACCGGGCUCUCGGACAUGUCAAGGGUAGGUAAGGUUUUUCGCGUUGCAUCGAAUUAAUCCACAUAAUCCACCGCUUGUGCGGGUCCCCGUCAAUUCUUUUGAGUUUUAGCCUUGCGGCCGUACUCCCCAGGCGGGAUACUUAACGCGUUAACUUCGGCACAGAGGGAUUCGACUCCCCCCACACCCAGUGUCCAUCGUUUACGGCUAGGACUAC
rnacentral:misc_RNA from 1 species